UUGAGAAUGAUUAUUUUUUUGAUGCUACAUACUUUACUAAAUAGUUUGUCAUAUCUAUCUGCUUCUACCGGUGCUUUGGGCGACUGGAAUUCCACAUGAAGUUGACCAUGACACCGUAACUCUAAAAGAGAUAAGCAAUUACUUACGAAUCUUUAGCAAUGCCAACAUCCUUGGUCUGAAAUCCUUCCUGAGCCCUGAAAUAAAGAAUUGUAUCGCAA